rnacentral:rRNA from 1 species
UGGGGAACCUGCCCCAUAGUCUGGGAUACCACUUGGAAACAGGUGCUAAUACCGGAUAACAACACUAGACGCAUGUCUAGAGUUUAAAAGAUGGUUCUGCUAUCACUCUUGGAUGGACCUGCGGUGCAUUAGCUAGUUGGUAAGGUAACGGCUUACCAAGGCAAUGAUGCAUAGCCGAGUUGAGAGACUGAUCGGCCACAUUGGGACUGAGACACGGUCCAAACUCCUACGGGAGGCAGCAGCC